GCCAGCCGCCAUUGCCUUCGUAGACUCUGGUGUGUCCAUGUGCUCUUGGAGCUCUAGCUGCCACCAUGUUUACUAAGCUUUGGCCCCCUCCCCUCCCUUGGGGAGAUCUCACACCAGACACCGACAACCCCAGCAAGCCUGACCUAACAUUCUGGAAGCCCCUGCUGGGAGUGUGACCUGACACAAUAUGACUGUGGUCCUCAUAAAAGGCAGACACGCACAGAGGGACAGCCGUGUGAGGACGCAGGGAGAAGACAGCCACCCACAAGCCAAAGAGAGAGGCCUCAGGGGAAGCCAACCCACAGACACCUUGAUUUUGGACUUCCAGCCUCCAGAGCUAUAAAGCAAUAAAUGGCUAUUGUUCAAGUU